rnacentral:rRNA from 1 species
UAUUGACCGUGCGAAGGUAGCAUAAUCAUUAGUCUUUUAAUUGAAGGCUUGUAUGAAUGGUUGGACAAAAAGUAAGCUGUCUCAAUUAUAAUAAUUGAACUUAACUUUUAAGUGAAAAGGCUUAAAUAAAUUAGGGGGACGAUAAGACCCUAUAAAGCUUGACAAUAAUUUAAUUAUACUAUCAAUUGUUAGUGUAACUUGGUUUUAAUUAAAAUUUGUUGCGUUGGGGCGACGAGAAUAUAAUAGGUAACUGUUCUUAAAUAUUUAAUAACAAAUAUAAUUGAAAAUUAGUAUGAUCCUCUAUUAGCGAUUAAAAGAUUAAGUUACUUUAGGGAUAACAGCGUAAUCUUCUUUGAGAGUCCCUAUCGACAAGAAGGUUUGCGACCUCGAUGUUGAAUUAAGGUAUCCUUAUGAUGCAGCAGUUAUAAAGGAAGGUCUGUUCGACCUU